rnacentral:rRNA from 1 species
UACGUAGGGUGCAAGCGUUAAUCGGAAUUACUGGGCGUAAAGCGUGCGCAGGCGGUUUGUUAAGCCAGAUGUGAAAUCCCCGGGCUUAACCUGGGAAGUGCAUUUUGAACUGUCAGACUAGAGUGCGUCAGAGGGGGGUGGAAUUCCGCGUGUAGCAGUGAAAUGCGUAGAGAUGUGGAGGAACACCGAUGGCGAAGGCAGCCCCCUGGGAUGACACUGACGCUCAUGCACGAAAGCGUGGGGAGCAAACAGG